UACAGAGGUCCCAAGCGUUGUUCGGAUUUAUUGGGCGUAAAGAGCUCGUAGGCGGCUUGGCAAGUCGGGUGUGAAACCUCCAGGCUCAACCUGGAGACGCCACUCGAUACUGCUAUGGCUAGAGUCCGGUAGGGGACCACGGAAUUCCUGGUGUAGCGGUGAAAUGCGCAGAUAUCAGGAGGAACACCGGUGGCGAAGGCGGUGGUCUGGGCCGGCACUGACGCUGAGGAGCGAAAGCGUGGGUAGCAAACAGG
rnacentral:rRNA from 1 species